UACGUAGGCAGCGAGCGUUGUUCGGAGUUACUGGGCGUAAAGCGUGCGUAGGCGGUGUCUUAAGUUUGUUGUGAAAUCUCCCGGCUUAACCGGGAGGGUGCGGCGAAUACUGAGAUGCUGGAGUGCCGGAGAGGUAAGCGGAAUUCCUGGUGUAGCGGUGGAAUGCGUAGAUAUCAGGAGGAACACCUGCGGUGUAGACGGCUUACUGGACGGUAACUGACGCUGAGGCACGAAAGCGUGGGUAGCAAACAGG
rnacentral:rRNA from 1 species